ACCGCAUACGCCCUGAGGGGGAAAGUGGGGGACCGCAAGGCCUCACGUUAUUGGAGCGGCCGAUGGCUGAUUAGCUAGUUGGUAGGGUAAAGGCCUACCAAGGCGACGAUCAGUAGCUGGUCUGAGAGGACGAUCAGCCACACUGGNNNNNAGACANNNNCCAGNNNCCUACGGGAGGCAGCAGUGGGGAAUUUUGNNCAAUGGGGGAAACCCUGAUCCAGCAAUGCCGCGUGUGCGAAGAAGGCCUUCGGGUUGUAAAGCACUUUUGUCAGGGAAGAAAUCCUUNNGGCUAAUACCNNAGGGGGAUGACGGUACCUGAAGAAUAAGCACCGGCUAACUACGUGCCAGCAGCCGCGGUAAUACGUAGGGUGCAAGCGUUAAUCGGAAUUACUGGGCGUAAAGCGUGCGCAGGCGGUUGUGUAAGACAGGUGUGAAAUCCCCGGGCUUAACCUGGGAAUUGCAUUUGUGACUGCACGACUAGAGUGUGUCAGAGGGGGGUGGAAUUCCACGUGUAGCAGUGAAAUGCGUAGAUAUGUGGAGGAACACCAAUGGCGAAGGCAGCCCCCUGGGAUAACACUGACGCUCAUGCACGAAAGCGUGGGGAGCAAACAGGAUUAGAUACCCNNNNAGUCCACGCCCUAAACGAUGUCAACUAGUUGUUGGGGAUUUACUUCCUUGGUAACGUAGCUNNNGCGUGAAGUUGACCGCCUGGGGAGUACGGCCGCAAGGUUAAAACU
rnacentral:rRNA from 1 species